rnacentral:rRNA from 1 species
UACGUAGGCAGCGAGCGUUGUUCGGAGUUACUGGGCGUAAAGAGUGCGUAGGCGGUGCUCCAAGUCUGGUGUGAAAAUCUCCCGGCUUAACCGGGGAACUGGCGUCGAUACGACCGCCCUGGAGGGGCGUAGGGGGACCUGGAACUUCCGGUGGAGCGGUGAAAUGCGUAGAUAUCCGGAGGAACACCGGUGGCGAAGGCGGCUUCCUGGACCGACACUGACGCUGAGGCGCGAAAGCUAGGGGAGCAAACAGG